GGAAGUAAAAGUCUAACAAGGUUUCCGUAGGUGAACCUGCGGAAGGAUCAUUAACGAGUUAGGGUCUUCUAGGCCCGACCUCCCAACCCUUUGUUUACUGAACCAUUGUUGCCUCGGUGGGUCCGUCUUACGACCGCCGGGGGAUCGCCGCGAGGCGCCCCCUGGCCAGCGCCCACCGAUAGCCCAACCUUUAAAACCCUUUGUGAAUCGUGUCUUAUGUCUAAAUUUAUGAUUAAACAAUCAAAACAAAACUUUCAACAGCGGAUCUCUUGGUUCUG
rnacentral:misc_RNA from 1 species